rnacentral:rRNA from 1 species
CCUACGGGUAGCUGCAGUGAGGAAUAUUGGUCAAUGGACGAGAGUCUGAACCAGCCAAGUAGCGUGAAGGAUGACUGCCCUAUGGGUUGUAAACUUCUUUUAUAAAGGAAUAAAACGAGGCCCGUGUGCCUGUUUGCAUGUACUUUAUGAAUAAGGAUAGGCUAACUCCGUGCCAGCAGCCGCGGUAAUACGGAGGAGCCGAGCGUUAUCCGGAUUUAUUGGGUUUAAAGGGAGCGUAGAUGGGUUGUUAAGUCAGUUGUGAAAGUUUGCGGCUCAACCGUAAAAUUGCAAUUGAUACUGGCAGUCUUGAGUACAGUUGAGGUAGGCGGAAUUCGUGGUGUAGCGGUGAAAUGCUUAGAUAUCACGAAGAACCCCGAUUGCGAAGGCAGCUUACUAAACUGUGACUGACAUUGAUGCUCGAAAGUGUGGGUAUCAAACAGGAUUAGAGACCCCAGUAGUC